rnacentral:rRNA from 1 species
UCCGGUGGCGAUAGCGACGGGGAAACACCUCUUCCCAUUCCGAACAGAGAAGUUAAGCCCGCCAGCGCCGAUGGUACUCGGAGGGCAACCUCCCGGGAGAGUAGGACGCCGCCGGUU